CCUACGGGUGGCAGCAGUGGGGAAUAUUGCACAAUGGGGGAAACCCUGAUGCAGCGACGCCGCGUGAGUGAAGAAGUAUUUCGGUAUGUAAAGCUCUAUCAGCAGGGAAGAAAAUGACGGUACCCAACGAGGAAGCACCGGCUAACUCCGUGCCAGCAGCCGCGGUAAUACGGAGGGUGCAAGCGUUGUCCGGAAUCAUUGGGCGUAAAGAGCUCGUAGGCGGGAUGUAAAGUCAGAUGUUAAAGGCGAAGGCUCAACCUGUGUAUGGCACUUGAUACUUUCAAGCUGGAAUGCGGUAGAGGUAAAGGGAAUUCCUGGUGUAGCGGUGAAAUGCGUAGAUAUCAGGAGGAACAUCGGUUGCGUAAGCGCUUUACUGGGCCUUAAUUGACGCUGAGGAACGAAAGCCAGGGUAGCAAAUGGGAUUAGAUACCCGAGUAGUC
rnacentral:rRNA from 1 species